AUCUUCAUCGCUUCGAUGUUCUUCAACAACAUCUGAAGAAUUUUCGGGAGAGUCAAAACAAAAUGCACCAAGUAUUUCAACAGUCCCUUGACGAUUUUGCUAGCAACUUUUAGGAAAGUUUCAACCAAUUCGAAGAUAAAAUCUGUGACGUACAAGACGAAGAUGCAGUUGCUGUGGAACAAAAAUAUGAAAUCAAGCCUGCUCAGCUUAUUCUUUCCUAUGUACCCAAAAAUCCCGAACCAUUUCUACUGUUCUCUACUCCUUCCCUAAGAAUCUCGUGUUCAUCUCUUCAUCUCAGAAAGUAUUUUUUCUCUUAUUCCUUCCUGUCGGUCACCACUAGCAAUAGAGACCCAUUAAUCGAAAGAGGCCUAACCAUCAUAUGGGGGUUCGAUCUCGGUGGCAUCGAUCACGGCCUUCAAGACUUCGACAGCUCUCUCUUUUCUUUCUCUUGCUACGGCAAGAGGAUGAACUCGCUCUCACUUCCAUUCCAUCUUAAGCACACAGUGACAUACUAGAUCUAUUCCACCACUCAGCCUGUUGUCAUGUGUCUGAUGCUCCGAGAUUCAAUGGCAUUGACGACAGCAAUCCGUUGCCCAUUUUCUCCACACCAGCUGAUAUGCACCAUUUCCCUCUCCUCGAUCGGACUCGCAACUCAGAAAAAGAAAUCCCUCUACUACCAUCUAUCUAACCCAUAAGACAUUUUGGCAGCAGAGGAGGCCCUGAACCAAUCAUCACCACCUGGAUUACAAGAUGAAAAGGUACCACACAGCAAAUUGAAUUUCAAGUAAGGAAAAUACAAUGUGUUCACAAGCCCCUUCCAACUGUACCCAUCAAUCUUGAAAAUCUAAUAGAUUACUUUGAGCCUAAUAUGUUUGAUGAAAUGCUGGAAAGGUUUAGAUUGGGUUGGUGCAUCUCGUUUUUUAGAAGGCUCCUAGCUAAAUAAACAAAGAGUGAGGAAAAUGUAGUAGAGGAGGUACCUCUCAUAAUUGAUGGCUCAAGGAAAAAUAAAGAAAGUGGGAUACCCAUGGAUGGUUUUGACGGUGCCAUGGUGGGUGGUAGGCCUCACUUGGGAAUAGAGAGAUUGAAUUUUUUGCUUUGCAACUUUCGGCAACAUCUACAUGUAUUGGGGGUCACUAUCAUGUUUGGGACCAAAGGGGUUACUUAUUGCCUGUGUUUUUCCAAUCGACUAAAUUUGUAUCUCUACAAGCUUGCAAUUAAUCUGAUCCCAUUCCCUCGUUGGCACUCCUUCAUGGU